AUUGGAACUUAUUGAAUGAAAAAUAUUUUGUUUGCAUAUUUGCACAUUGGUGUAAGGAGAGAAGGGAUCUGUGAGUGCAGGGAGAGACGGGGUCGAUGCAGGAAGGGCUCUGUGAGAGAGAAGAGAUCUGUGCAAGGUGCAGGAGGUCUGUGAAAAUGCAAGGAGAGAAGGGUCUGUGCAGGGAGGCAGGGCCGCCAUCAAAGGGUGACAACCAGGGUCCGGGCCCCAUGUGUAGCAGCGGAACUGCAGCUGGUGCAGUUCCAC